rnacentral:rRNA from 1 species
UGUCGUGACAACAGCAAAGAGGUCAUACCUGUUCCCAUCCCGAACACAGAAGUCAAGCUCUUUAGCGCUGAUGGUACUUGGUGGGCAACUGCCUGGGAGAGUAGGUCGUCGCGACGU